UAAAUCUAGGUGGAAAUUCAAAGCAUUAACAUCAAUUCUAGCGCUGCAAUCAUUAACGAAGCAGAUGUAAUUUACGAGCAGUUUUAAAAUCUUCACUCGUUGUUUAUCUUCCCAUACCAUUCAGGGCAGGCGCCGCCUAGUGGCAGAAUUUCGAAACAAAUGUCCCGUUUUAUGUAAAUCUGUGCCAUACUGAUCAACUUUGCCGAAUACACCAUCUUUCUAAGUAAUCAAGAUUCUGAGCCAUGAGAUUUUUUAAAUUUGCAUGUUCACUAGCGCCGCCUAGUGGCAGAAUUUCAAAACAAUUGUCCCGUUUUAUGUAAGUCUGUGCCAUGCCAUACUGAUCAACUUUGCCGAAGACACCAUCUAUCUAAGAUACUUGGCCAAACCCCCACAUAGCCGUAAUCCCAUAAACUCUUACACGGAAAAAAAAUCCAUUCCCAAGACCAUGAAUAUGACUCAUAGUUUACCGAUAUUUUUAUGAUUUUAUGUUAUAAAUAUAUACCAUGAUUAAAUUUUAUGAUUUUAUGAAUGAUUUCAUCAUAACGCUAUGCACCCGUUUUUGUUUUGGCUUUCGACGACCAAAAAUGGAAAAUAUAAUCAUGAAGCUAUGAUUAAAUAAGCUGGGAUCAUGAGAAGCAUUCAUGAAGCCAAGAAUAAUUUUGAUAAACCAGGAUGCAGAUACUGAUGCUUUACCACCAGAUUCAUAAAAUUAUGGUUUGGUGAGGUAGAACCAUGCAUAGAAUUCAUGGAAUCAAAAAAUACUUUUAUGAUUCCUUCGUCGUCGGACCUAUAUGCUUCUUAGUCAAAUUCAUAAAAUCAUGGUUGAGGGAGAUGGAACCAUGCAUAGAAUUCAUGGAAUUAAGAAUUACUUUUAUGGUUCCGUCGUCGUUGGACCUUAAUGCUUCUCAAUCAUAUUCAUAAAAGCAUGGUUGAGUGAAAUGGAACCAUGCACAGAAUUCAUGAAAUUAAGUAUAACUUUUUUGAUUCCGUCGUCGUCGGUCCCAAAUGCUUUAAAUUAGAUUGAUAAAACUAUACAAGCUAAAAUCAUAAGCAAAUAAAAUACGUGAUAUUGCGGAGAUUCCACCUGUUUAGACUCCUGCGCGAAAUUUAGUUGCGUGGGCCCACAGAUAUAAAACCAGACCUCGUCCUGGUGAAUAUUUUACGCUGUGUUGUUAGGUACACACUUGGUGAUAGUUUUGCAUUGUAAACAAACAUUUAUAACGCACCUACGCUGAAAAUAAGCCUAAUCAUUUAUUUGCGUCGGAAUUUAUAAAUCUUCACAACGGGCAAUAUCAGAGCCCAUUUCUAUGAUUUUGGGACCUAUCCAUCAUCCUUUUUUUUCUAUGAGCAAGCAGCACUUUUUAGUUGGCCUCUUGUUAAUGAAGAUAUAUCAUGUUCAAAUAUAAAAGAGAACAACAAUGAUCGAACUCACCGGGACCGGAUAAUCAUAUUUAGCUGGUUUACUAUUUUUGUCUUUGGCUACUACAUCGAACAGGCUAAGGAUGCCCUCCAAACCAUAUCGAUUGUUCACUAGUUCACACCACUUGCUGAGUCUCCGAAGUCGUCGAACGAAGGAUAAACCGGAAAAAUAGAGAGAAUUACCGAAAAUUAGCGCGCGCGAUUCUCACUUUGCUUCACCGUCCAUAAACAUCAACUACACAUAAACUCGCAACUACGACGGAUGGCACAACGAAAACGCGAACUGGGCAUUGUUUACUUUUUGCGCGUUUACUUUUUAGUCAAUCAACUCCCAACAAACUGCCGAAUCUUACGGGCACACUGUUUCGAUGUUGCAUUUCCUCAUAUAUGCACAUUUAUUACUCUAGCCAAAUAAAAACUUUGCAAAAAUAGCAAGUUCAAUUUUUUCCACACGUCUGUGCUGGACGACCGCGCGGCAUAUGGCAGAUAAGUGUAACGCUAGGAAGCGACCAUGAAUAUAAUUUAUGAAAAUGCUUGUUUCUAUUCAUAUUUCUGGUCAACUCAUUCAUGAUAUUAUGAAUCUUAAUUAUGAUAUUAUGACUUGGUAGACAUCAUAAGAACAUGAUUUUUUAUUCAUGAUAAGAGGAAUGGAUUUUUUCCGUGUAGUAUCCCCUAUUAGGCGGAUUCCUAUAGUCCCCGAGCAGUGAUCCUAUGACCGACAGUCUCGACUCUACGCCAUCUUCCACUCUCGCCGCAAUAAUUGUCUUCAUUCAUGUCCAGUCCAUCGUCUGAACGGAAUGAAAACAAACCACUUUCAUUCCUUUGCAGGCGAUAAAAGACACUAACGCGGCUCCGUGGUCGUACGGCUAGGGUCACCAAGCUCUUAGUCGCAUCGUGCUGAGGAGCGCGGGUUCGAUUCCCGCCGCAGCUGUCAGGAAAAGUUUUCGGCUGUGCCACUGGGCGUUGCAUGCUAGUCCGUUGUCCAGUGUCGUGCUUCCUUCAAAGAGCGAAAAGCUCACUGGAAGCAUUGAACGUGUCCGUGUCUUUAACACAUUCUCAGACACCUUUUCCAACCAAUACAGAUGCACGUUUGUGUGUAUUGGGGAGCCGCAAGUGAAUUUGCACUAAUACACGCAAGACCGCAUCUACAACUGGUGGCACCCACACAUUGCGGCUUGUCAAUGUGUGGUCAAAAAAUCUGCUCGAAUCCGCAUGAGCGCGGCCGCACCAACGAGCAUGAGCGCAAAAGUGCUUCUAUCGCCGGUAACGCACUUUUGCGCUUGCAGCGUGAGCGCUUUCUCACAAAAUAUGCGCGCUUUGUUUUGGGUGUACUAAUGGUGUACAGCACCACGGCACCGCUACACCGUUCUACCCCCAAUCCAACGGGCAGGUGGAGCGAUUCGUAGAUACGUUUGAAAAAAAAAAACAACGAAGAAAAUUCGCGAAAAAAAAAGAGGUCAAUGCAGGAAGUUUUGAACCUACAGGAGCACGCGGAACAUGUCCGCACCGAACGGUUUGGCACCAUCAGAAGUGAUGGCGAAUCCGUACGAAUUUGAAACUGCUACAUGAUAGGAGAAAUUACCCAGCAAGAAACGUUAGGGUCACAUGAGACUAAUGUAAGACAAACCGGUGAGACAGUUAGGCUAACAAAAUCCCUCACGUUAGGCUCAGGUUCGACAAAAUUCAGGCUAAUAUGACACACUUUUGUUAGACAUAUUUUCGAGCUCGACCCUUUAUUAGGUAUGUACAUGAGCCUAACGUUAGGCAUUUUUUGCACUGGGCUGUUAGACCCUGGUUAGGCAUUAUUUUUAUGCUGGUUUAUUUACAUCUAGCUGCCAUCCACGGUGGAAGUAAAGUUGUGGUAGUGAGCAUGCUUGGGUUCUCACUACCACAACUUUACUUUCACUUUGGAUGGUAGCUAGAUGUAAACAAUUUGAUGAAGUUUCAAGUUCUAGUGAAUCUAACUGCAAAUAAAUAAACAUUUCUGGAGAAGUCUGCUGCCGAGUUAACCGCUGGUAAGUCAUCAUUUCCGGAUCGGAACCAAACCACACAUUUUGACUCGGAUUCGCAGUUGCCGGGAAAAUGUCGACUCGGUCAAGGAAUGCAUCUAUAUCCUGUAUGGACUGUAGGAACAGAUGUACACUACCCUAUGGACAGAGCACUAGUAAGUAGUACGUUUGCCGGAAGUGGCUUUAAAGACUUUCGAAAUGCUAAGCCGUCGAAAGCAACGUAUCAUCAUCUUCCGAAGCGGAUCAGGGCACGGUCAAUGAUCUUCUCGGUCAGCAGUACUCCUGCGGCGACACACAUCGUGUCAUGCGAAUAUCGGAUAAGCUAAAAUGAGGACAAUCCUGAGACAUACCAAGUACGAGGAACACAUUGGCGCCAAACCCAACACUUCCUCCGGAACGAACGUUCAUUCUAUGUAAAGAUUCUGCGAGAGCCGAAGAUGCCCAAGUUUAGUCCAAGUGCUUGAGCGUAAUCCUCGAUCGUGAGCGUGGUCCAUUGGUGCCACCCGACGUCACUUCCAACAUAGACAUUUAAGAAUGCGAAGAGAUUCUGAAGUUUUCGCGUUAUAAAUAAAAUUCAACAAAAUUUUAUAUACCUAAUAAUGCACAUAUUUAGCACCAAGCUUUUUCAUUAAGAUCGUAUUUUAGUUGAGUUCAGUAGUUGGUAAGACAUACAUAAUCCCCCAAACAGUGACUUUAGCGAGUACCUUGUUUUUACCCUUCUUACACCCAUAAGAAGGGUAUAAAUAUCGCUCGAAAAACCGACUUUCGAUCCGAGGCCCGGAGGGCCGAGUCUCAUAUACCAAUGAACUCAGCUCGACGAACUGAGCAAAUGUCUGUAUGUGUGUGUGUGUGUAUGUGUGUAUGUGUGUAUGUGUGUGUGUGUAUGUGCGUUACAAAAAAAAGUCACGCACGUUUCUCAGCCGUCUGUCAACCGAUUUGAGUUCUCUUGGAAGCAAAUGAAAGCUACUACAUCCUAGUAGAACGCUAUUGAAUUUUUUUUCGAUUGGACGUUUGGUUACCGAGAUAUCUCUCGAAGAGUACUUAUGAGUCAUACUUCUAAACUUUUUAAGAUUUUUGACCAAGUGUAUCAUAAUAAAUAUUUCGGCCGUUUGUCAAUCGAUUUAAGUUCUCUUGGCACCAAAUGAAAGCUACAGCAUCCUAGUAGAUCACCCAGAAAUUUUAUUUCGAUUGGACAUUUGGUUACAGAGAUAUCCUUCGAAGAGUACUUAGGAUUUAUACAACUAAACCUUUUGAGAUUUUUGACCAAUUGUAUCAUAAUAAAUAUCUUAGCCGUCUGUCAACCGAUUUCGGUUAUCCUGGCACCAAAUGAAAGCUACAACAUUCCAGAAGAACCCUAUACAAUUUCAUUAGGAUUGGACAUUUGAAUACCGAGAUAUCUUUCAAUUAGUACUUGGGAGUAAUACAGGUUAACUUUUUGAGAGAUUUUGGACCAAGGGUACCAUAAUAAAUAUCUCAGCCAUCUGUCAACCGAUUUGGGUUCUCUUAGCACCAAAUGAAAGCUACAAUAUCCUUGUAUAAGGCCCUGAAAUUUUAUUUCGAUUCGACAUUUGAUUACUGAGAUAUCUUACGAAGAGUAUUUCAAUAAAUUCUUUUUACCCUUCUUACACCCAUAAGAAGGGUAUAAAUAUCGCUCGAAAAACCGACUUUCGAUCCGAGGCCCGGAGGGCCGAGUCUCAUAUACCAAUGAACUCAGCUCGACGAACUGAGCAAAUGUCUGUAUGUGUGUGUGUGUGUGUGUGUCAAGGGGGAGUCGCUGAGCACAUCUUUACUUGUGCCAAUUAUUUUCAGUGUGCCAACGGGUGUUCAACUGUGCCUCAGUGUGCCCCGAAGUGCCACUGCUUUAUGAUUCAGAUUUUGCUUGGCAACUACCAAGACAACCAACUGUUUGUUUUCAUUUUGCAGGUCAAAUGCACAUGGUUGCCUAGAUUUUUCACUCAAACUCAAGUGUCAAAAUUGUGCCUCAGAGUGCCACGGUGUGCCACACAGCGUAUAAGACGGUGUGCUUGGCACCUCUUGGCACAAUGUUCCAAGCGACUAGCUCCUUGGUGUGUGUAUGUGUGUAUGUGUGUAUGUGUGUGUGUAUGUGCGUUACAAAAAAAGUCACGCACGUUUCUCAGCCGUCUCUCAACCGAUUUGAGUUCUCUUGGAAGCAAAUGAAAGCUACUACAUCCUAGUAGAACGCUAUUGAAUUUUUUUUCGAUUGGACGUUUGGUUACCGAGAUAUCUCUCGAAGAGUACUUAUGAGUCAUACUUCUAAACUUUUUAAGAUUUUUGACCAAGUGUAUCAUAAUAAAUAUUUUGACCGUUUGUAAAUCGAUUUGGGUUCUCUUGGCACCAAAUGAAAGCUACAGCAUCCUAGUAGAUCGCCCAGAAAUGUUAUUUCGAUUGGACAUUUGGUUACAGCGAUAUCUUUCCAAGAGUACUUAGGAUUUAUACAACUAAACCUUUUGAGAAUUUUGACCAAGAGUAUCAUAAUAAAUAUCUUAGCCGUCUGUCAGCCGAUUUCGGUUAUCCUGACACCAAAUAAAAGCUACAACAUUCUAGUAUAACCCUAUACAAUUUCAUUAGGAUUGGACAUUUGGUUACCGAGAUAUCUUUCAAAGAGUACUUGGGAGUAAUACAGGUUAACUUUUUGAGAGAUUUUUGACCAAGGGUACCAUAAUAAAUAUCUCAGCCAUCUGUCAACCGAUUUUGGUUCUCUAAGCACCAAAUGAAAGCUACAAUAUGCUUGUAUAAGGCCCUGAAAUUUUAUUUCGAUUCGACAUUUGAUUACUGAGAUAUCUUACGAAGAGUAUUUCAAUAAAUUCUUUUUUUAUUAUAUUCACUUGUUAUCUUGCAUUUGUUUUUGACCAGUCUAUGGGAAAUUAUUUUUCAAUAAAUGAUGCUGACCUCAUACAAAGUGUAUACUAGCAGGUUAUUGUUUUCAACAAAAUUAUAAAUAACAAAUACACAGGAAUUUUAUGGAAACUAACAAUAUGUUAAAUGAAAGCUUUGAAGAACCAGACAGCCAAAAUAACUAGCUAAUGCCAAAACUGAUUAACUAAGUAGAUAUAUCAUUUUUGUCGUUUUUACACCAUAACCAUGAAUACCAAGUACUUCGGAGCUAAUUUAAUUGACUGAUUUAGACAAAGUGUAUCUCGCUGAUUUUCUUACCCAUUUGUUAAUCGAUUCAAGAUCUUUUAGCAGUUAAUAAAAGAUACAAAAUUCCAGAAUAUGUAAGCUAUUUUUUAAACAUUCCAUACAAGACUCUAGGAAGUGUCUGGCAUUUCUGGUAGUUUAGUCCAUGGUCCAUGGUGCUAGUUUGGAAACCAAUCCACUAGAUGCCAAAUCCACAAUAUUUUCUAGAACUUUUGGUCAAUUCCACAAAACAAAUAUGUUAAACUAGCUGUACCCGGCAAACUUUGUCUUGCCUACUGCGUUUUUUGACGUUUUAAGUUUCUAGCCCAAAUUCCCGGUCCCCGGUAUGAAAGAUCGAUUUUCAAAAACUAUCAUUUUUUCCAUGUUUUAUGCCUCAUAAACCUUCCUUGGGUGAAAACUAACAGAUCAAAACUAAGACGACCAAAAUCGGACCUUCCGUUCGCAAGUUAUGCGCGGUCCCACGUAUGCCACUGCAUUUUUAUAUAUAUAGAUACAAAUAAUACAACAAUAAUUUUAAUAAGUGUAAGAAGGGUUCUGUUCACCAUAGGUGGAUUAAAUCGGGUUUUUUUAAAUAGAAAUUGAUUCAAAUUAUUCAGUUAAGCACUGCGGUAGCAUUAAAGAUUAUUGUCAAAAUUUGUCCUGAGUAGGGGUUAAUUGUUUUCUAAUAAAUACAAAACAAAUAUA